CUGGACGAUUGCUGCAGAAAUGUAGAGGAAAGUCCAUGCUCGCACUACCUGUGAUGGUAGUAGUGAUUGUGCUAAAGGAAAAAAUAACUUUAGGUAUGGUGGAGACCAUAACGGCGAUGAAUUAUCUCUAGCAGAUAAGGAGUCGUAACGUGCCACAGAGACGAGCUUAAUGGUGACAUUAAGAUGAAACGUUGGUAAACCCCUCAAGCGAGAAACUCAAAUUUGGUAGAGGAAGCUUAAAGGUCGAAUCGAAGACCAAUGAGCCAGAAGUAAUUCUGAGAUAAAUUAUCGUCCUAGACAAAACAUGGCUUACAG
rnacentral:RNase_P_RNA from 1 species